GUUAUGCUGAUUAGGUUUGCUUCAAACAGUAAUGCACCUUUUUCAUCCAUUCAUUUAUUCAUUCAUUCAUCCCUCCAUUCAUUCAUUCGUUACGGUGUAUUGUAAAACUGAUCAAACAACAAGUCCAAAGACUAACAAUGUCUGAUUUACAAUACAAAAGAAUAAAAUGUAAUAAAAAUUACAGCCAAACAGCAAAAGGGGGAUAUUAUAAAGAUAUAUACAAGAUAGAUUGAAACUUAUAAAAAAUAUUGGAAAGGUAAACAAUAACACCAAUAAAAACACACACAAAUUUACAGACAAGUACCAGCAUUCAGUAGCGUAGCCAUGAAAGGAAUUGGAGAUUGCUUAUAUUUUGAAUCCUUGAACAGGGAAUAUUGAGCAGUUGGAAUUUCAAUUUAAAAUGUCCUUUACAAAUUCAACAAAACUGCAGUCAAAGAUGUGCUUGCAGAAAAUGUAUACCACCUCUCAAAGGUAGUACCAUUUGUGUUGGCUGUAUUUUUUCAAAAUUAGUCGAUUGUGAAUGGGCUAUUUUCCUUGGGUAUCAUUCCAUUGACUUGUUGCAUAUUUUGAGUUCAUUACUUCUAGAAUAAUCAACAAAAUUGCUGUUUGUUUUUAACAUUCAAAGCACAGCUCGUGUAAUUCAUCUUGCAAAAAUGCCAUGGACCUCAGGACAUUCAGAGUGCCUGGAUAAAGCAUGGCUUCAAGUACAUUUAGUGGUUGGCAAAUUUACCUUUAAGUGUGUGUCUCUUUCCUCAGCAAUUAAAUGCUGUGGAUUUGUCAAAUAAACAACACUUCACUGUACGGUAGAAUGAGUGCCAUCACCACAGCCACAAUCCAUCAAAAUGCAUGCAUGACCCACAUGCUUAUGUCACAUGCAAGUCAGUCAAAAAAGCAAAUGAAAAAUCAACAAAAAUAGUAUCUACCCUUGAUUAUUGGCAAAAAGUUAUUGUGACAGGAAAGUAGGAAGUGAAAUGUCCGGAAUCACAGAUUUUGUUCAAGGACAUGGGCUUCAGCACUGAGUCUGGAAAGGAGAGGCCAUGUUGCCCAUUACUGCUCAGUUCGGAUCAUGCAUAAAUUCAAUUUCAAAUUCUCCUUUGAUCUGUCAUCAACAGAUGUACAGUAUAUCUAUUUUGUCAGAUGAUGGUGAAAAUGACAGCAUUCCAGGCAGAAAGAUUUCACAUAAUGUCUCGCGGUGUAAUUUAGUUACUUUAUGUUAAGAUAUCUUAAUAUAAUUCAGCAGUCCCAUUUUUGAUACUAACAGUGUACACUACCUUUAACUUCAAAUGGAAAUCUAGUAUGCUGUGCAUGUGCCAUUUGUUUGUUCAAUAUGGACUGCAUUAUCAUGUAUUGCAUCUACAUGUAACUGCAGUUGAACACAAUUAAUACGAGCACACUUUAGACAAGAUCAUGCUCACAAUGAGCAUAUGUGACCCAGCGCGAGUAAAUGACGUGUAUUGUGGCAUAAGUAGAUUACUUUACUGGCAAAAUACGAGUACGGGGGUCAAAUAAAUUGAUUUUUGUUUAUUUGGGGGGGCUGAAAAACGUACCUUGGAAUGUCUACACAUACUUUCAUAUGCUAUAUAUUUCUGAAAAUUCUGAUGAUAGCAUGUGCUUUAGUAUUUUUCUUAGACGUGUCCAUUCCAGAAUUUCACUACUUUCACAGGUUUCGUUCGAAAGAGAGCUCAAGAACAGUUGUACUUUGACAGCCAUCGCUGAGCCGCUUGAACAUCCAAGGGUGCCAUGUUUGAUACUGUGGGAAAGGGAAUUGCCUGGGCUAUAAAUAAAGGUCAAGAAAUCCAUCAAAACCAAUAACAAAACAUGAAAGAAAAUUUAAACAGCUACGGCCUCAUUACAUUGCUGUGCCAUAAAGUCGAGUGCCAUUGGCUGUUCUUGAUCAUGUGGUACAUGUAGCUUAGUGUAUGCUGAUGUCAUUUCUGCGCUCGCGCAGUAGAUGAAUGUUACACCUCGCUUGCAUAACUACAUUAUCUAAACUGUUUCCAAUGGCAAAGAGAACGUGUUUGCAAUGGGUUGCUGUCAUGAAUUCUCAAGAGAAUCAUAUUUCAGAGUUACUAAUCAGUAUUAGGGGCUGCAAGUUACACAAAAGAGAAGAAGAGGGUGCCGAAUGGAAGCAGUUUAUCGAUGAUUAUUUUGUAAGUGGUAAAUCCAGCCUCUGAAGAAUCUGAAAGUGACAAGGGCGAGGAUAGUAGUGACAUGUAUAACUGGGAGAAUGAUCUACUGCAGAGCGCCAAUGCAAGUAGCCUUCAAAUCCCUCUUGUCUGUUGUGACAACAUUGAUAGUGGUAAUAGUGACAAAGAUUUGCAUGUUGGGGAAAGAAUUGCAUGUGAGGAAGCCAAGAAUUGGGUUAGUGACCAUUUUGAAACCAAGAAACGAGAGCUUCAAAUGUACCUGCAAAAGUAAAGGAGGUCAUCAGGCUUUCACUAGUGAUGCAUUGCUCACAUCAUGUCUGGAACUUGGUGCAUUCAAUGAAGGUGGGUUUAGACCAAUGUUACUUGCUAAUACUACAUGAUUAGUUGGUUGAUUUGAUCCUUGAGGAGAAUUUGUGACAAGUUUUUCUUACUGUUUUCAUUUAUUUGGUGGUUGGCGGGUGGAAUGCCAUCGUACUACCACAUGGGUCCUAGCCCUAUGAUACUGCUUGUAUACUUUCCGUGGCUGAAGCAAGCAUGGUGGUGUAUUUUCAGGCAAUGGGUAUUCACCUCAAGAUGGCAAUUUGAUCAACAAGUUUAUUUUGCUGUAGUCCUUUGGUUUGUUACAAACAGAACAACUUUUGGCAAGCAAUAUCUUUUCAAAAAGAACAAUGUAAGCCUAGUAUCUAUGCCUUCACACAUGCUAUAAUGCUCCCAGCUAGGGUAGAGGGCCACGGACGAAACGAUAAUGUGCUGCUUCUGAGCAACUCUACAAAAACCAGUGUACAAGAACAUGACAACGGGGGAUCAGCAAACACAAGUGAAAAAGGGAACAAGCUGAAGGAGCAGGAGAAGCCCCAUCUGACUGCUACCAAGCAGCACUCCCACUACACAGCCCAUGUACAACAAGCCAAAGCAGCUAUAGAUGAACACCUUGAUUCUGCAGACAAAUCAUCAUCAAUCGUCUACAACUACACACUACAACUACAACGUCUACAACUCGUUUGAUUUUGCACAAGUGCACUUUCCUCAUAGCCUCUUCAACCAGAGCACAUCUAUUUCCUGACACCCUGGAAGUGCCUGAUAUUUGGUGUUGAUACCGAGGCCAUUCCGAAACAAGUGAACAUCUUGAUGGAUGAGUUUUGUCAUCGACCUGGUUAUCAACCUUUUUUACCUAUUUUUUAAUCAGCACAGUUUAAAGGAACCAUCACUUAAAUUACACUGUGGACACUGUUGUGGCCAAAACACAAACAGGUGCAUGCUGUGGCAGGUGACCUACAGCCAUCAUUACUCCAUGACACUCAACUUUCUCUUAGCUGGACACACCAAGUUUGCACCAGAUAAGUACUUGCUGUGGUACAUGCUGUGGCAGGUGACCUACAGCCAUCACCACUCCAUGACACUCAACUUUCUCUUAGCUGGACACACCAAGUUUGCACCAGAUAAGUACUUGCUUUGGUACAUGCUGUGGCGGGUGACCUACAGCCAUCACCACUCCAUGACACUCAACUUUCUCUUAGCUGGACACACCAAGUUUGCACCAGAUAAGUACUUGCUGUGGUACAUGCUGUGGCAGGUGACCUACAGCCAUCACCACUCCAUGACACUCAACUUCCUCUUAGCUGGAUGCACCAAGUUUGCACCAGACUGAUUAUUUGGUCUUUCGAAGAAGCGUUACUGUGUGACUGAUGUGUCCAGUCUAGAGGAGUUGUGUGAUGUUGUGGGCACAAGUUCCCUUCCAAAUCUGAAUGUACCUCAAUUAGUUGGGAAGGAGGAUGGUACCCAGUUUGUUCCCCAGUAUGACUGGCACAUAUUGCCAGGCCCAUACUUCAGAGCACUUCCAGGCAUUAAGAAAUAUCUCCUUUUAGGUAUGAAACUCUAUUUGCUCUUUGCAUGCUGUCGCCAAUGGCAUGCAGAGCCGUAUCCUGGAAGCUUUACACAAUCAAUGUAGCCAGUCUAGUGAUUCCUGUGUAUGUAGCUUAUUUAAGUUUGUAAUUGCUCAAAAAGAGAUAUAUCCAUGAUGCCAACGCAAACCUAUCUAGUUUACAACAAUGUUUUCACUUUGUAUCUUGCUACAAUUGUUUUGAUAGAUUAUUAUGUUUAUGUAUGUUGAAAAUGUACCUCUUUGUUUUUACCUUCCCGUUUAAUUACAGGUUUACUUCAGAUGAACCAGGGUGCUUUUAUGUCAGAGAAUUUGCAGACUCAGAAGAGGAGUGUUUUCAUCUUCUCAAGUGCAAUACUGUACCUCCUCAUAAGUUAAAUUACCACAAGAGAGAGAUGUACCUGGGCUCUGUGCAGCAAGGCAGUGGUAUCUCUUCAACAACAUCCAUCAGUUUUGCUCCAAUGAUAGCAAGGAGGUGACAUGUCCACUUCAAAGUGUUCCCUGACCACAAGCUCAUACUGAGAAGUGACUCCAAUGUACAAGCCAGCAUGUGGAGGAAAUCAUCCAAACCUGCUCUAAGUCUCCCCCUGCACCAUCUUUGUGAAAGGCACUGGUAUAGAUCAAGGGGAAAGAACAGCCCAGUUCUGGUAGCAUUUUUCACAGUGCCGAAGAAGUCUUGCAUUUCAGUUUGUAUGGACUCUAAAAACAUUGAAAUACAUCAUGGCCUUUCCAUUUCAUUGGUUCCUUUUCGUCUCUGCAGUAACUCAACUCCAUCAGCUUGAUUAUUAGCCAUCACGUCGGUGUCUCAAUACCCUGAUUUUUGCACAUUUUAAUAGCAGUGUGGUACACUUUAACACAUCGCUGGUUGAGAGGUGCAUGUGAGAUUCUAUUAUAACAACAAACUUUUCCAAGGAAAGAUGGGACUGAGUUGUGGCAUACAAAUGAUUUAUUCUGAAAGUCAGUUUGAUGUCUAAAGGAAAUAUGAACUCAAACAUUUUAAGCGAUGUUUCAUUCAGAAUUUAAAAUCACUUUGACUGAAUACAAACUCUAAAGGCACAAACUCAAUUUAUUUCUAAAAGCAUGAUAUGAUGUAUCCUAAAAUGCCAUUGUCUAGUGUUGGUUAAAAAACUCAAACAAAAUGUAACGUGAGAAACAUUACAUGAAAUGUGAAAAAAUGUGAACGUUUGACAACUUAGUUGUUGGGUUUUGAUGUUAAAAAAACUUCAGAAGUUAAAUGAGCUCUUUGGUAUUGGCACAUGUUAUCGGUGUUCGGGCUUAAAGAAGUUUUUGGUGAGUCAAUCAAAUUUUACGUUGAGAAAUGGUUACCCUCAGACUUUCAUAUACACCCAGCGAACUUUUUGUAUGGUAAAGUUAUUAAAAAAAA